rnacentral:misc_RNA from 1 species
GCGCACCCAGAAACCCUUUGUGAACUUAUACCUACAUCGUUGCCUCGGCGCUGGCUGCCCCUCCCUCCGGGGAGGGGGCCCUGCCCUCCAGGUCGUAAAACACCUGGGGAAAAGGACAGCAGGCCCGCCGGUGGCCCAACAAACUCUUGUUUUUACCGAGUAACAUCUGAGUAAAGCUUCUAAAUAAAUUAA